rnacentral:tRNA from 1 species
GAGGGUAUAGCUCAGUGGUAGAGUGCACUCCUAGCAUGCAUGAGGUCCUGGGUUUAAUUCCUAGUACCUCCA